GAUCUGGACUCGACAGUCCUCUUUGACUGCAGCCGGAGCUAGAUGGGGCAUGGCGCUGGUCUUGGCCGAGAUCCGCCGCUGCCCAUCGUCUUCACCGUCCGUCAGUCCUUUGCUCCCCUGAUCCCGCUACCCUCCAUGGCGUCGUCUCCUGCGAAGGUCGCCAUUCAUCCUCGAAGAUCGCCGGCCUCCCUUGCGCGGGAUCGCCGCGAUUGUCCACCAGGAAAGACAUCAUCGCUGCUGUCGUGCUAGGUCUGAUCCUAUUGCCUUGGUAGUUGGAGCGGCAUCGUGGCAUUGCUUGUGGUGGUGGUGGUCGGCGAGCACCUGGAGCCGCUGUACUUGCAAUGGGAACACAACCUCGAUUUCGAGGUGGUUCUGUGCAUGUGCUCUAAUAAGUCGAUGUGCUCUGCGAACUUGCCCACUGUCUCCAGGACAACUAAGGCAUGCGCCCCCGACUGAGAGCCGCCCCUCCUUAUCCCUCUACUCUCACCGCCGCAGUGCCCAGCCGCACCCACUAUGUUCUACAAUAUUGCGUUGUAUUGCCGGCUGAUGCAUCCAUGUGCUAAUCUGCCGGCAGAAUUGAGGGAGGGCGGCCAGCUGCCUGGCGGGUGCACCGGCGAGCACAACGUGGAAGAGCCUAAAAGUCCGUCCGCUACCAGCUUAUUCGCGGAUUCUUUGAUCAUCGUGUUGCUCCGUGCAACGGCUAGCUGGUGUAGGCACUGUGCAUAAGUAGUAUUUCUCAUGUUUAUUGUAUCGAUCAACAGAUUGACUGUCAGGUCCUUCCCUACAGAAUCUUUAGAAAGAAAAAAAACUACAAGAGAAGUACAUAUGAAAAUACUGCAGACUGCAAUUAACAUCUCUUUUGCCAGUUUGGUAUAACUUUUGUGGUUGUUUUAUUAUCCAUUGAGACCCAUG